rnacentral:lncRNA from 1 species
CAGCUAAUGUGGAGGCUGAGGCAGGAGAAUUGCUUGAACCCGGGAGGCAGGGGUUGCAGUAAGCCAAGAUCGCACCACUGCACUGCAGCCUGGCGACAGAGUUAGGCUCUGUCUCAAAAAAAAGAAAAUAUAUAUAUAUAUAGUCCUCAAUACAAAGCAUAUAUAUUUUGCAAAAGAUAAUUGAAAAGGAAGAUACUCUGACAAAUGCUAUUUUAAAUAGAUUUCUAAAUGUUGAAGAGAAAUAGUGCUAAGCAAAAUUCCUGCUAUUGUUACCUGCAUAUGGUUCUCAAUUCUUUCCUCUCCUCUGAUCCAUGACCUUUGCCAUGUGACUCUGCACUUCCUCCCAUAAGAAGUGGAAAAUAUUUCUUUGUUCCAUUGUGGAUUGUCUGGAACAUGUGACUUGCUUUGACAAUACAAUGUUAGCAGAAGUGCCAGGAUCAAAGGCCUGAAAUGUGUUUGUGCAACUGGAUUUGUAUUCUUGUGUGCCUAACUUUUCCCUUGAGUUUCAGAUAUGUUUCAGAUAGCUGUUUGUCCAAGGAGAAUGAGAGACAUGUGAAACCAACCUGAACUUAACCUAUAGUUUGGAGCCAAACCCAACAAACCCAGCCUAGGUCAGCUGAACUCCAGCCAACUGCAGAUACUGGUACCUCCAUCAAUGAACAGAAACUUCUUUAUAAAAUAUCUUGAAAAUGCUGUUAUGUCUCUCAUUAAAAGCCUUAUGACUUAGAGAGGGCAGAAAGUAUUAUCAUCUUUAUUUUACAGGAAAAAAAUGGAAACUGAGGAAAGCGACUUACUCAAGACUAGUCAGUGGAGCCAUAUUUCAAAAAUCAACUUUAAUCUUCAAGUUUUUCUUUCAAAACCUACUAUUUGUCAACUAUCUGCAUUAUGUAUAUGGUACAAGUUUCUGCACCAAAUCAACGACUGCUGUUAAAUCUAUACACACAACAAAAUAUUUAGUACAGUCAAAUAUACUUGGCUGCUCUAAAGAAUGCUGAGGUAUGCAAUGUUGUGGUGGUUGACAUGACCAUCCCAAAAUUAACUAUCAGUAUAAAUGAGGUUAUUGAAUUUUCCCCACAUUUCUAGCUUAACUGUUAAUAUUUAUCACACGACUGAGGAGUGCAUCUAAGAACUUACUUGAGGUCAGUCCUCUGGGAUCUGCUUAUUACAUUUAUUAAAAAUAUUGGAAAUGUAAUGCUCUGUUCUCAUGCUGCAAUAAAUUCUUUGUGCUGUUAAUCUGUAUGAAAAUAUUUGGGUUUCUAUUAACCUAACUGCAAGAUUUCAGCCUACAUUUUCUAUCUGAUUGGAAAUAAGUCAUGGGUUCAGAUGGAAUUUAUAUCUCAGAAAGGAGGUAGCUGUUGUUAAGAAGCAGAAAAAUGAAAAUAUCAUUCAUUCCAAAACAGUUCUCUAAAAUCACAUGCACACUCAAACAAUAGCCACUUUGCUUAUUUCAUUAUAAUGGCAAUAAGCUCCAAAGCUUUAAGAAGAAAGAUUUUCACUCUUGCAUUGAAAACUGAGGUGCAUUUGUGCAUUGAGAGAGAAGUAUAUUAUAUUUUCAAUGAGAAAAUUAUAGUUAUGUCACUCACUUUGCAGUGAAAAUUAGAAUAAAAUUAGAGGUAAUUUGAAAGUCUUUCAGGAAAAGUUAAUAUGAUGCUCAAAUAAUGUAGCCAUGCUUAGCGUCAAUCAGUGAAUAGCUUAUUUUCCUUAAUUAUAAUUUUUUAAAGUAAGAAAGAAAGCCCACUUAAUAUGUCUAUACAUAGUUUAGCAUUUAAUCAUACAUUUUUGUAAUU